GCGACGGGGUCUUUCGUUCUGAACUGGAGCUUGCCGUUUCUGAACUGUUUCGUUUUCUCCGAUUUGGAGUUGGAGAAGAAGACAAAAGUUUGGAGUUUUGACACAUGAUCUAGAGAAAUCGAAGCUUAACACGAUCAAAGCUUCUCCAUUGUCAGAUCAAGGCUUCCACCUUGUUAGCUACUCAGAUCUGCAAGCUUCUUUAUUGUCAGAUGUCCAGAUCAAAGCUUGCGAUAGAUGUGGACGAGGAAAGAGGGAGGGAACGAUGGAGGCAGAAUAAGAUGGGAUAGGGUGACAAAGCUUGCUGUUACAAUACUUCAUCAUCGUUGUUGUUACCACUACUGCACUUGGCCAUUACAGGAAGAGAGAGAAAUACAGGCUGUCGAGACUCAAAAUUGGAGAGAUAAAGUAGGGCAGGAGGGAAAAACUGUGAAUUAAUAAAAUAUAUGAGGGUAUUAUGGUCAUAUAGUUUCACUUCCAUGGAACUUAUCUCAGUUUUUGGGUACGCCCAAGGAAUCCACGUCCAUCAUUUUUCCUGGAAGUGAGUUCCAGAAGGAAGUAGACUUCAACACACUGAACAACCUAAUUUCAUAGUUCUACUUCCACUUCCAAUUCCCUAGCCCCAAUUCCAUUGCACCAAAUGGAGCAUAAGGCUCCCUUGAAAUGUGGGAUAUUUGGUGAUGAGAUCAUAGUCUGUUGUUAUAUUUAAUCAUGUUGCACACUGAUAGGAUUCUGAGUGGUCAAGAGUGGUAUUGGAAUUUGUUCUUUAUCACUUGAGGCAAUAAAAAGCCUCGUGUAUGUAUGUGUGGGUAUA